rnacentral:rRNA from 1 species
GACGAACCGUGCGAACGUUGUUCGGAAUCACUGGGCUUAAAGGGCGCGUAGGCGGGCUCACAAGUCAGGGGUGAAAGCCCACGGCUCAACCGUGGAAGUGCCUUUGAUACUGUGGGCCUCGAGGGAGGUAGGGGCGUGCGGAACUUCCGGUGGAGCGGUGAAAUGUGUUGAUAUCAUCAGGAACUCCGGUGGCGAAAGCGGCGUGCUGGACCUUUACUGACGCUGAUGCGCGAAACCAGGGGGAGCCGGAACGGG